ensembl:lncRNA
GUUCACUGUAUAGACCAGGCUGGCCUCAAACUCAGAGAGAUCUGCCUGCCUCAGCCUCCUGAGUGCUAGGAUUAAAUGAGUGAGGCACCAUGCCUGGUGCUAUGCCAAUUCUUUUGGCCCCUGUUGAGUCAGCAUCUCCCAGGUACUGUAAACACAGUCCAGUCUGGACCAUGGGAUUGUGCAUGAAGUGGUGCCUCCCUCAUUACCGAUUCCCAGCAAAGCCUUGCCUUCUUGUGUAGUUUUCAAUGGGGCAGGAAAGUAUCAUGGAUAUGGAAUAUAAAUUAAUCCAUCAGAGCGAGGCUUCUAAAACUUUCUCCUUAAGACUUCUUUGGCCUGUGGUGGUGGUGCACACCUCUAAUCUGAACGCUUGUGGGGCAGAGGCAGGUGGAUCUCUGAGUUUGAGGACAGCCUGGUCUACAGAGAGUUCCAGGACAGCAAAGGCAACAUGGAGAAACUGUCUUGAAAAACCACCAACCAACCAACCAAAAAGUAUUAUUUGACAUACAUAUAUAAUUUUUAUAAGUUAUUAAAAACUAAAGCAAAUUUCUAUGUGGCUUGCUUUUUUAAAUUUAAACUCGGUCAGGUGUGGCAGGCCUGUAAUCCCAGCGUUUGAGAAGUAGAGAAACAAGGAUCAGGAGUUCAAAGUCAUCCUCAUUUACACAGUGAGUUCAUGGCCAGCCUAGGCUACUAAGCUCCUGAAAACAGACGUGGGCAGGGAUGGGACUGAAUAUCGGCCAAGUAUUGAUCCUGAAGAACAGAGUGCCCUUGAUGUUUUUCAUUGUUAUUGAUAAUUUGAUUUGACAGUCAUCAGUACUGAGAAUGCCACUUCAUAUAAAUCCAUGGAGCAGGAUGACAGAGGUAUAUUUAAGGCCAUUCAAAAAACAGGUCCUAAUCCCAAGCCCAAACUCACUUAACAAUGUUUUGUGGUUUUUUGUUUGUUUGUUGUUUGUUGUCUUGUUUUGGUGUCUAUGUUUUGAAACAGGGUCUCUCGUGUACCCCAGGCUGGCCUCAUAUUUGCUCGGUGGCUGUGGACGUGACAUAAUGCAUGCUUUAUGCAGUGCUGACUACAAAACUCAGGGUUUCAUGUGUUCUAACCAACUGGAUCCCCUGCUGGAGCAGUUCUUUGCUUUUGUAAGACUUAAGUCAGCAACUCAAAUACCAAGUUUUAAAAUAUUUUUUUAUUUUGUGGGAGUGCCUGAAUGCAUAUCUGUGUGCCAUGGUGUGUUUGGUGCCACUGGGGGCCAGAAGAAGCAUCAGUUCCCAGGACCUGGAGUUACAGACAGUUGUGAGCCAUUGUGGUACAGUCAGUCCAUCACGGAGGGAAGCCACGGUGGCGGGAGCCUGAGACAGCUGCUCACACCACGUCCACAGUCAAGAGAAAUGAAUGUGUCCACGUUGCCUGCUUGUCACCCCACACAUAUGACCAAGGACACAGAGAAGUUUGGCAGGGACCAUGAAAGACAUGGCUGCUAACUGGCAGGUGUGGGCUGUGCUCAGCUUUCUUAUGCGGCUGGGACCGCCUGCCUAGGGUGGCACAGCCUAAGAUAGUAAGUACGGUC